rnacentral:rRNA from 1 species
CAGUAGCCGCGGGAAUACGAAGGGGGCUAGCGUUGUUCGGAAUUACUGGGCGUAAAGCGCACGUAGGCGGAUAUUUAAGUCAGGGGUGAAAUCCCGCAGCUCAACUGCGGAACUGCCUUUGAUACUGGGUAUCUUGAGUAUGGAAGGGGUUAGUGGAAUUGCGAGUGUAGAGGUGAAAUUCGUAGAUAUUCGCAGGAACACCAGUGGCGAAGGCGGCUAACUGGUCCAUAACUGACGCUGAGGUGCGAAAGCGUGGGGAGCAAACAGGAUUAGAUACCCCCGUAGUCCCUGUCUCUUAUAC